CAAGAACCUUAAGUGAUGUCACUGAAAAACAAACUUGGAACUAAGAAAAACAAGCAUCCACAAGUACUAUGAUGACUUCUUUGUUUUGUGUGUGUGUGUGUGUAUUAUAUUAUAUCUAUAUAUAUAUAUAUAUAUAUAUAUAUAUAGUAAAAUAUAAUAAAAUAAAAAUUAGGACAAUGAUUUUAAGUUACCAAGUAGUUGAGGAAAAAAGCAAAAACUGCAGUAACACCUCCUCUUAUUAACCCAAAAUUACUUGACAUCAGCAACUUUGUCAUCCCAUCUUGCUAGUGCAAGAAUACUGAUUAUAGUAGGACUUCCAAUUUAGAAUUCCAUCAAGCAACCACAAGUUAAAACAUUAACAUUUAAUAUCACUACUUAACUCGCCGCUAGGAUCAUUGCCCCUUAAUUGCAAUAUCCUAGCACAUCGAUACAGACCACCAAUAUUGGCCGCUAGCCAUACAGCGACAAGACAAUGAAAGAGGAGGCAGAUUAGGUCCUCCAAUAUCUGCUCAUUUGCGUCCAAGUGGCAAAUAUGAAUCGUGUGAUCACUUUUCAGAAUCAAGAAGAACAGAACCAGGGGAAAGACAGAAAUCAAGUGUCCACAAUCACUCUAUUGAUGCUAUUUGAAAGGGAACAGAACAGGGUCUAUUCAGAUGCAGGAGACAAUUGUUAAUACAUCUGUCAAUUGGAUGAUAAAAUAUCCUGCCAGUAACCUGUUCUGCUAUAUGUAUGCCUAUGGAGCAUGCGUGCAUAAACAACCAGCAGAACUAGAAAAGCUGGAUUCAGCAUGUGACUGGUAGCUGAAGGAGAGAAGAUCAAGAUGAUCAAGAAGAGAAGGAGGGAAGUUCUGAUAAUUUCUGUUUUUCCAAAA